rnacentral:rRNA from 1 species
UACAGAGGUCUCAAGCGUUGUUCGGAUUCAUUGGGAGUAAAGGGUGUGUAGGUGGCGCCGUAAGUCGGGUGUGAAAUCUCGGGGCUUAACUCCGAAACUGCAUUCGAUACUGCGGUGCUCGAGGACUGGAGAGGAGACUGGAAUUCAUGGUGUAGCAGUGAAAUGCGUAGAGAUCAUGAGGAAGACCAGUGGCGAAGGCGGGUCUCUGGACAGUUCCUGACACUGAGACACGAAGGCCAGGGGAGCAAACGGG